ACUCCUACGGGAGGCAGCAGUGGGGAAUAUUGCACAAUGGGCGCAAGCCUGAUGCAGCCAUGCCGCGUGUGUGAAGAAGGCCUUCGGGUUGUAAAGCACUUUCAGUUGUGAGGAAGGUGGUGUCGUUAAUAGCGGCAUCAUUUGACGUUAGCAACAGAAGAAGCACCGGCUAACUCCGUGCCAGCAGCCGCGGUAAUACGGAGGGUGCGAGCGUUAAUCGGAAUUACUGGGCGUAAAGCGCAUGCAGGUGGUUUGUUAAGUCAGAUGUGAAAGCCCGGGGCUCAACCUCGGAACUGCAUUUGAAACUGGCAGACUAGAGUACUGUAGAGGGGGGUAGAAUUUCAGGUGUAGCGGUGAAAUGCGUAGAGAUCUGAAGGAAUACCGGUGGCGAAGGCGGCCCCCUGGACAGAUACUGACACUCAGAUGCGAAAGCGU
rnacentral:rRNA from 1 species